rnacentral:lncRNA from 1 species
ACAAAUAUAUGUAAAGGCAAUAAUCCAUCAGAGAGUAAGUUUGUUGAGCUAAGCAAACCAACAAAUAAAAAAUGGAGAGGCGUCAGAGUGAGGAAGAAUUAAAGCAUAAGCUUCAAGAAUUGCAGAAGCAGUUAGGAAAGAAACAAAUGUUUGAGGAAGCUGUUUCCUCUAUCCGAUCCCUUCUUCUUCAAUACUAUCCUUCUGCUUCCCCUUCUCUUCGUCAUUCGGUAAUUUCCCUCUUCCCCUUUUCUGGGUUUUCCUUUUAUUCUUGAUUUAUGUAAUAUGUAUUACGGGAAAUGUUGACCCAUUAUUUUCUUUUCUGCUAUAGAAAAGUCUUAUUACUUAAUUUUGCUUUUGAGUUAGUGGUUUUCGUGAUUUAUUUGAGUAUAUAUGAGUUUGGAUAGCUGCAGAAUAAAAAGUUAACUGGGUGAGUUUUACUUCUUGGAGCUGAAUUAUGGAAAAUAGGUUGCUAUGGAUAAAUGAGUUGGUAGAGGAGACGAGGUUUAUGCCAUAACAAAGUAUGUAAAUGAUUGUGCACUUUGGCACCUAAG